UAUUCUGCCCCACGGGGAAGGAUGAGAAGCUUCGACUAAGGUUCGACUCGAGCGAAGCGAGAGAACGUUGCCGCAGGCAACGGCCCGAAGGGCGAGGAGCGAUAGCGACGAGUUAU
rnacentral:sRNA from 1 species